rnacentral:lncRNA from 1 species
AUGGACAGGGGGCGGGAACUCGGAGACCACGGGCGCCGGGCAGGGCUGGAACAUUCCAGAAAGUUCCUAAAACGACUCCUGGCAUGCACCGCCGGCUCCAUCCGUGUCUCCAGCAGGUGCACGGGGCCCCCAAGGGCUUUAUCCGGGUAUCCCAGGGUUCAUGUGGAGCUCCCCAGAGCUCCAUCCAGGUCCCUUGGAGCUGUAUCCAGGUCCCUAGUUGCUGCAUCCGGGUCUCCAGCAGGUAUACGGGGGCCCCCAGGAGCUCCAUUCGGGUCUCAAGGGGCUCCAUCCAAGUUCCUAUCAGGUGCAUGGGGCUCCAUCCGGCUCUCCAAGAAGCUCCAUCCGGGUCUCUAGCAGGUGCACAGG